rnacentral:misc_RNA from 1 species
UUGAUUUAUUUGUUUGUUGUUCAGACGGUUACAGGUACAAGAGGGUUUGGUUGUGUCCCCGUUGGCAGGCGGGCCUGCCGAGGAAACGAAAGGGUACUCGAAAAAGGCAAGGGUUCUAUCUCGACGGGGCCGGAGCCCCACGAUAAUGAUCCUUCCGCAGGUUCACCUACGGAAA